CUGUGACUAGUAUGUUGAGUCCUGU
rnacentral:piRNA from 1 species